CAUCCUGACACGUGACUGGGCGACUCCCGUUAAGGGUCUGAGGCUUCUGGCUGUGUCGGAAUUUUCCCGGCCCUUUCCUGAUGAGAGAACCCGUCCGUGUGGGGGUGUGACUGACCACUGACCCCGGGGGCCCAAUCACUGACCCUGAGCUUGGAGUGCAGUCCUCCCUCAACCUUCAUUGGAUGGAAUUAUCCCCUGAAUUUCUUGUUCCCCAAUAAAAGGCUACUCCCUGGCGUGUUCACUCUCUCUCUCCUGCUAGCCCUGAGUAAUCCUUGCUGCCCUGCUGGGCGGUUAGAGGUUGGAGCCAGAGAGGGGAGCCGUCUCGGACCUGGCAAUAGAAAUAAGGUAACUGAGUCUGUGUGUUUUAUUUCGAUCUCUUCUAACUAACUUUAUGCCAAGAACUCUAUACUGUACUUAGCACAAAGCAGGGUCUCAGUUAAAUAUGUCCUGAAAUAAACGGUCCAGAUGGGGGAAGACCUGGUGCAGUUCCCUUCAGGAUUCUGGCCAGACUAGGCUUCAACCCAUUUUUCUUGCUUUAGGGCCAAGACAACCCUCCCCAUCCCUCUUGCUCUCCUGACUAGUGGCCAAAGGCCAAAACCAACUCAGGCCAAAGACAAAUAUAAAUUUGUUUUUCUGACCUAUGACCCAAAUUAAUAUAUUUUGUUUUUCUCAAAGGUAUACCCCAUAUUCUAGAAGUUAAAGCUGACUACUUCAGAAGCCCUAACAAUCAAAGAGGACUUGGACCCUAGUGGAUCACAGGGGGCUCACUCUGGAUCCAGAAGUGAGGAGCUGGUGAGCUGUGUUCGGUCCACACCUUUAUGUGUGUAUUGGAGUGGGGGUGGGUACUCUGAG
rnacentral:lncRNA from 1 species